rnacentral:pre_miRNA from 1 species
AGUGGGAUAACUGGGUCAAACGGUGGUUCUAUUCCAAGUUUUCUGAGGAAUCUCCAGGCUGCUUUCCAGAGUGGUUGCACCAAUUUGCAGUCCCAACAGCAAU